rnacentral:tRNA from 1 species
AGGGUUGUAGCUCAGUGGUAGAAUAUUUACUUUGUAUGCAGAAUGUCCCAGGUUCAAUUCCUGGCAUCUCCA